AUAGUUGACUCAUAUGUAGACUACAUGUUCCUGCGGAGCAGGCCAGGUGGGUUGGCAAAAGAGUCGAAAACACAAGAGGUCAACAUGAAGAUCAACCGGUUCCUGGCCCUGUCUGGCUACUUGGAAGGAGUGGUGUUGAGUGACGUGCUGUUGUGGAUGGGCCAUAUGGAGGUCCACGACAGUUCCUCAACACCACUCACCAGCUGAAGACGGUGCGGAAUGCACUAACGGCAAUCAAGAACUUCCUGAAGUGGUGCCAGGGAAUGGUCUAGCGGACGCCCGCACAUUGAACAAUGCUUCCUGACCUCAACCUGCCUGGAUAAGAGCCGUCGCGAGGUUGUUCGGAGGGUAGAGGAGAGUGCGGCCAUCCUGACGGACGCAAACCUGGAGCGCCACUUCACUGAAAGUGAGCAUGUAGUGAAAACGAUCAAGGUGUUCCAGGAGACCCCGCUGGCACACCUGAAAGAUAUUCGGGGAAUAAUCAUUAAACUGAUAGCGCUCUAUAACGCCUCCUGAACCGGCAAGUGUACCUAGAGAUUGAGCUGGAGACAGUGAAGGUGCUGACCUCUGUGUGGAACACUUAGAAGCUGGCAAGUUUUCAUAUUGAAGGGUAUGGUUCCCAACUGCCCAUCACACACAGAAUGUAGCUUGUCGUCUUCCGCAGUAAAAACUGGGUGCUGGAAGAUGCUUACUGCUAUAUUGACUGCUUCUAAGCGCUCCCUGGACCUAAAAAUUAUCUCCCAGCAGCAACCUCCCCAAGGUGUGACGAGAGUCUUCAAGUGUUCCAGACGGCUGGUGAUGCAUUUCAAGAAAAGCCAUCAGAAUCUUGCAAUGAUCUGUAUACUUAAUAAAUGACAAAACAACAA